UACAGAGGGUGCAAGCGUUAAUCGGAAUUACUGGGCGUAAAGCGUGCGUAGGCGGAUACUUAAGUCGAAUGUGAAAUCCCCGGGCUUAACCUGGGAACUGCAUCCGAUACUGGGUAUCUGGAGUAUGGUAGAGGAAAGUGGAAUUCCCGGUGUAGCGGUGAAAUGCGUAGAUAUCGGGAGGAACAUCAGUGGCGAAGGCGACUUUCUGGACCAAUACUGACGCUGAGGCACGAAAGCGUGGGGAGCAAACAGG
rnacentral:rRNA from 1 species